rnacentral:rRNA from 1 species
AUGCACGCUGGCGGCGUGCCUAAUCCCUGCAAGUCGAGCGAACGGACGAGAAGCUUGCUUUUCUGAUGUUAGCGGCGGCCGGGUGAGUAACACGUGGAUAACCUACCUAUAAGACUGGGAUAACUUCGGGAAACCGGAGCUAAUACCGGAUAAUAUUUUGAACCGCAUGGUUCAAAAGUGAAAGACGGUCUUGCUGUCACUUAUAGAUGGAUCCGCGCUGCAUUAGCUAGUUGGUAAGGUAACGGCUUACCAAGGCAACGAUGCAUAGCCGACCUGAGAGGGUGAUCGGCCACACUGGAACUGAGACACGGUCCAGACUCCUACGGGAGGCAGCAGUAGGGAAUCUUCCGCAAUGGGCGAAAGCCUGACGGAGCAACGCCGCGUGAGUGAUGAAGGUCUUCGGAUCGUAAAACUCUGUUAUUAGGGAAGAACAUAUGUGUAAGUAACUGUGCACAUCUUGACGGUACCUAAUCAGAAAGCCACGGCUAACUACGUG